rnacentral:rRNA from 1 species
CUGGUCCUACGGGGGGCAGCAGUGGGGAAUAUUGCACAAUGGGGGAAACCCUGAUGCAGCGACGCCGCGUGAGUGAAGAAGUAUUUCGGUAUGUAAAGCUCUAUCAGCAGGGAAGAAAGAAAUGACGGUACCUGACUAAGGAGCCCCGGCUAACUACGUGCCAGCAGCCGCGGUAAUACGUAGGGGGCAAGCGUUAUCCGGAUUUACUGGGUGUAAAGGGAGCGUAGACGGCAAUGCAAGUCUGGAGUGAAAGGCGGGGGCCCAACCCCCGGACUGCUCUGGAAA